AGAGUUUGAUCAUGGCUCAGGACGAACGCUGGCGGCGUGCUUAACACAUGCAAGUCGAACGGAAAGGCCCUUCGGGGUACUCGAGUGGCGAACGGGUGAGUAACACGUGGGUGAUCUGCCCUGCACUUUGGGAUAAGCCUGGGAAACUGGGUCUAAUACCGAAUAGGACCGCAUGCUUCAUGGUGUGUGGUGGAAAGCUUUUGCGGUGUGGGAUGGGCCCGCGGCCUAUCAGCUUGUUGGUGGGGUAAUGGCCUACCAAGGCGACGAUGGGUAGCCGGCCUGAGAGGGUGACCGGCCACACUGGGACUGAGAUACGGCCCAGACUCCUACGGGAGGCAGCAGUGGGGAAUAUUGCACAAUGGGCGCAAGCCUGAUGCAGCGACGCCGCGUGAGGGAUGACGGCCUUCGGGUUGUAAACCUCUUUCAAUAGGGACGAAGCGCAAGUGACGGUACCUAUAGAAGAAGCACCGGCCAACUACGUGCCAGCAGCCGCGGUAAUACGUAGGGUGCGAGCGUUGUCCGGAAUUACUGGGCGUAAAGAGCUCGUAGGUGGUUUGUCGCGUUGUUCGUGAAAACUCACAGCUUAACUGUGGGCGUGCGGGCGAUACGGGCAGACUAGAGUACUGCAGGGGAGACUGGAAUUCCUGGUGUAGCGGUGGAAUGCGCAGAUAUCAGGAGGAACACCGGUGGCGAAGGCGGGUCUCUGGGCAGUAACUGACGCUGAGGAGCGAAAGCGUGGGGAGCGAACAGGAUUAGAUACCCCGGUAGUCCAA
rnacentral:rRNA from 1 species